CAGGGCUUGACAUUUCCUGUAGAUUUAAGAGAUUAGAUUGUCCCUUCGGGGCAGGAAGCAGGUGGUGCAUGGUUGUCGUCAGCUCGUGUCGUGAGAUGUUCGGUUAAGUCCGGCAACGAGCGCAACCCCUGUGGCCAGUUGCCAUCAUUCAGUUGGGCACUCUGGCAAGACUGCCGUUAAUAAAACGGAGGAAGGUGGGGAUGACGUCAAAUCAUCAUGCCCCUUAUGUCCUGGGCUUCACACGUACUACAAUGGUAACAACAGAGGGCAGCCACACCGCGAGGUGGAGCGAAUCCCAAAAUGUUAUCCCAGUUCGGAUUGCAGGCUGAAACUCGCCUGCANGAAGCAGGAANUGCUAGUAAUGG
rnacentral:rRNA from 1 species